rnacentral:tRNA from 1 species
AGCUCAGUCAGUUGAGCGUAGCGUUAGCAACGCUAAGGUCGCGGGUUCGAUUCCCGU